rnacentral:tRNA from 1 species
CCAUAGCUCAGCUGGAUAGAGUACCUGGCUUCGAACCAGGUGGUCGGGAGUUCGAAUCUCUCUGGG